AUUAUAGUACAAGUGGAAUUGUAAUGUAAAUUUGAAAGACAAGGAAAAGGAAAAGGAAGUUUCGAGACGACCUUUCUAGUAAUUUAACUAAAUUAGAGCGAAGCAGUUCAUAAUUUUACGCAGAAGAAUUUCAGAUACUUGAGUUUUCAGACCAGUGUCUGCUGUCUUCAAACGCUGUUCAAAUUGUAGCAUGGGAGUUAACGAAAAUCGUGCUGUGAUCUUGGCAUAUUCUACUAAAAUAACGUCAUAGGGUCUGGAAAUAUACAUAAAGAUAAAAAUUACGUCGGAAAAAAUAUACGGAUAAUAAUUUGGUCGGGAUAAUGUAAAGAUGAAUGUAAGUUCGAGAAAGUUUUUUUAUGGAAAGCUAGAAUGUGGAUGUAUAUCUACGACUUGCUGAAGGAUUUUAAGUAACAGUUAUUUAAAAUGAUAUGCAUUGACGACUCAGUACUAACAGUGGGAAAAAGAUAUGAACGUGUAUUUAUACCAAUUUAGCAUCGGGAAAAACUAAAUGGUAUCUGAGAUAUUCCACGUUUAGAAUUAACAGUAAGGCUAGAGUUUACAUUCAACUUAUUUCCAGUCAAAAGGGAAUAAAUAAUCAUGAAACUGCGACAUAUGAAAAAUUUAUUGGUCGUGAUAUUAGUAAUGUGCAUAACAAAAUCAUCUAAUGGCGCACCGGUUUCACCUUACAAGCUCCAAUCCCAGAAAGGGCCAGAAACUUGCGAAUGGGGCUGCGACUCCAAUAUUGAUGAAAAACUUAAAAUGUGUGAAGCAAUUUGUUACAUUGAUACUCAACAAAAUCGGUUCCAACAUUAUUAUGAAACCCAGUGUCAAAGUGUAUGCGCUACAAAGUAUAUUAGCUGCUUGGAGGGAUGCCCCCAAACUUUCAGCAAGAACAAUUCUGUUAUAUGAAUGGGUAUAAGCAAAUUACAUGUAAUUGAGACUGCGUUUGGCGAAUAAUUUCAAGACGAGUACGUUAUCAUAAGAACACAAAAUGACCCGUGAUUAGUUGUCUACUGGGGAGUAAUCGAUACAUUUUUUUUGCUGUAGAAAGUUUGAAAAUUUGCAUAUGUUAGUGCAUAAUUAUACAAAGCAAAGCGAUGUACUUGUAAAACAAGAUACGGAAAUUAUAUUCACCUCUGAUGGAGUAGCAGCUUUGAGCAAAGUACCUUUCAGCCAAACAGCUAUCAAACAGAAACAACAAGUACCGGUAACCGCAGACAAGAAAGUUCAGACUGAAACAUAAUAUUGAAUAUACUGUGACCAUAGUCCUUGCCAUGAGUACAUUACGAGAACAAUUUUGUUCUACAUAGUGUGUGGGCAACAUCCGUCUUCCUCGAAUUUGAAAAGUGCUGUUAACAAAUUUAUGUAUUGAAAGUAUGUUUUCGAUCAUAAAGUGCUCACCCGCGGAGCAUUUACUCGAAAUGCAUAUUGUGUAUAAUAUAUUGACAUCUAAUAUAUCUCAACUUAUGUAUGUCAGUUUGCUAACAAGAGUAUUUAUAAUGAUACCAUUAAGGGAAUCAAGCAAUGAACUAUAACAAUCAUUCAAACAACAGCGUUUUACACGAAUGUAUCAAGGAAACAUUCGUUGUCUUUAUUAUGAAAAAUAUUUGCAAAGAAUAGUUAUGAUUUUUUCUUGCAAUGGUUGAGAGAAUUUUUGAAUUGCUUUUAAAUGUUUUUGACUCGACAUGAGAUCAAAUAAGUGACGCUUUGUGUUCACUAUUGGGUAACAAAUAUAUUAGAUUUGACGUUGAAAUCUACAUACAUGUAAUACACAGUUGACAAGUGUUCGGUAUCCCACUGCACUCCACUCUUUGCUGAUGUUUUUUUUUGUAUUGUCAUGAACAUGAUUCCAAGCGUAAAAUGUUUAUUGAAACUUGUUUGAUAUUGUUGAACUUUUUAUGAUAAAGCUUCUUACCUUGGUGAUAUUUUAGAUAUGGAUAACAGUCGUGCAAUUCAUUAAUCCAAAAGAAUUACAAUUUAACAAAUAUAAACAUUUAUUAUUUGAAUGGACAUUUUAAAGCAAAACUAAAUUAUAAAACAUACAAUUAUUUUGAUUCAUAAAUUGUAUAUUAUAUACUUUAAACAUGUUAUCACAAGUGUAAGAUUUCGUAGCAUAGUAUAGAAUGAAUAAUACAUUAUCAUAUAUUCUAUAAAUGGUAUUGAAAUUGUGGAUGUGUCGAUUAUGAAAGUUAAAUUGAAUUGCUUCAGCCAAAGAAAUAUCUUUUACAAACGAUUACUCCGAAAACGUUAAAAGCUAUAAGAACACAACGAAGUAUGAAAAAAAAGAAUAUCAUUCCAUCAAAAAUUAUCCUACUUGGCUUUUCUUUCUCACUUUGCAAAUACAAUUUUCUGAUCAAUGAUGGAAUACUUUUGGAAACCUAUUCAUGGAAGACUAUUUUGUACAAUCAAAACAACUUGUACUUUCUCAGUAUAAUCAUUUUGAUUGACCAUUGCCCUUUGGAUCAGGACUGCAUCAGUCGCAAACAAAAUGAGCUACAUAACGAUUUAUGCAUUUAAUUGACGCACACCCCUUAGAGAAAAAAUUCUUUUGCAGAAAUUGCAUCAAAUAUAUACCCUUCAAUGUGAUGAUAAAUAGGCCGGACACAUUAAGAGAUCUUAUGUAGUAUAAUUUUAAAAUGGGCCCGUAUACUUCCAUUGAAUGCAUUUGUUCUAACUUACAAAAUUACAUUCAUAUAAGUUCUAUUUCUUUAGAAUGUGUAUGACCUUAUAUCUCUGAAGAGUACCUACAAAUUAGUCAAACAACUUAUAUAACAAGUUAAAGCAUAGCAAACGUUCCUUCUAGGGCACAUCUAUAUAAAUAUAUAAUGAUCAUCUUGUAACAUUUUGGUUGUAAUGUCUGUUUUAUACUGCCAAAAAAUGUCAAGUUAAGUAUUUACGCUAGUUAUUUAACAUGAAAUGUUAAAUCCAACAACAAAUUAAAUAUGUUACCACUUUCUGUUGAGUAAAUACGGUAAUAAGACAUUGACCCGGUCAAUCCAUUACGAUUCGAUGCGUGAAUUUGUUGCGCAUAAUUAGAGGGUCGCAAUGGGGUUUGUUAUCACAUUUUAACCAUGCAUUUGAAGGUAACGAUAUUUAAUUGUUUACAUGAAAAUAUGUUUAUCUGUUUGUACAUAUGUUAUGUUCUUCAAGAAUGGAGGAAAUAAAAGAAUCAAUGAAUCA